GACGAACGCUGGCGGCGUGCUUAACACAUGCAAGUCGAACGGAAAGGCCCUGCUUUUGUGGGGUGCUCGAGUGGCGAACGGGUGAGUAACACGUGAGUAACCUGCCCUUGACUUUGGGAUAACUUCAGGAAACUGGGGCUAAUACCGGAUAGGAGCUCCUGCUGCAUGGUGGGGGUUGGAAAGUUUCGGCGGUUGCGGAUGGACUGGCGGCUUAUCAGCUUGUUGGUGGGGUAGUGGCUUACCAAGGCUUUGACGGGUAGCCGGCCUGAGAGGGUUGACGGCGACAUUGGGACUGAGAUACGGCCCAGACGCCUACGGGAGGCAGCAGUGGGGAAUAUUGCACAAUGGGCGGAAGCCAGAUGCGGCAACGCCGCGUGCGGGAUGACGGCCUUCGGGUUGUAAACCGCUUUCGCCUGUGACGAAGCGUGAGUGACGGUAAUGGGUAAAGAAGCACCGGCUAACUACGUG
rnacentral:rRNA from 1 species